UGGUGCAUGGUUGUCGUCAGCUCGUGUCGUGAGAUGUUGGGUUAAGUCCCGCAACGAGCGCAACCCUUAUUGCUAGUUACCAUCAUUGAGUUGGGGACUCUAGCGAGACUGCCAGCGAUAAGCUGGAGGAAGGUGGGGAUGACGUCAAAUCAUCAUGCCCCUUAUGACCUGGGCUACAAACGUGAUACAAUGGCUGGAACAAAGGGAGGCGAAGGGGUGACCUGGAGCGAAACCCAAAAAUACAGUCUCAGUUCGGAUUGAAGUCUGCAACUCGACUUCAUGAAGUCGGAAUCGCUAGUAACCGCGAAUCAGCAGGUCGCGGUGAAUACGUUCCCGGGCCUU
rnacentral:rRNA from 1 species